GCUGAAGCAUGAAGAACUGUGACCAAAUGUCAAGCCUGAUUCCCCACUCUGGCACUUCAAGUUCAGAAGGUGGGGGCCCCUCAAGUAUUCUAAAAACUAAUACUGGCCACUCCAGGCUUGUAUUAAACUCCCAAGGUUACAGCUUCUCUCUGACCUUGAAUUGGUAGAUGUUGCCAACACCCAAGUGCA